UAUGGCUCAGAGUGAACGCUGGCGGUAGGCCUAACACAUGCAAGUCGAACGGCAGCACAGUAAGAGCUUGCUCUUAUGGGUGGCGAGUGGCGGACGGGUGAGGAAUACAUCGGAAUCUACCUUUUCGUGGGGGAUAACGUAGGGAAACUUACGCUAAUACCGCAUACGACCUUCGGGUGAAAGCAGGGGACCUUCGGGCCUUGCGCGGAUAGAUGAGCCGAUGUCGGAUUAGCUAGUUGGCGGGGUAAAGGCCCACCAAGGCGACGAUCCGUAGCUGGUCUGAGAGGAUGAUCAGCCACACUGGAACUGAGACACGGUCCAGACUCCUACGGGAGGCAGCAGUGGGGAAUAUUGGACAAUGGGCGCAAGCCUGAUCCAGCCAUACCGCGUGGGUGAAGAAGGCCUUCGGGUUGUAAAGCCCUUUUGUUGGGAAAGAAAAGCAAUCGGCUAAUACCCGGUUGUUCUGACGGUACCCAAAGAAUAAGCACCGGCUAACUUCGUGCCAGCAGCCGCGGUAAUACGAAGGGUGCAAGCGUUACUCGGAAUUACUGGGCGUAAAGCGUGCGUAGGUGGUUGUUUAAGUCUGUUGUGAAAGCCCUGGGCUCAACCUGGGAAUUGCAGUGGAUACUGGGCGACUAGAGUGUGGUAGAGGGUAGUGGAAUUCCCGGUGUAGCAGUGAAAUGCGUAGAGAUCGGGAGGAACAUCCAUGGCGAAGGCAGCUACCUGGACCAACACUGACAC
rnacentral:rRNA from 1 species